rnacentral:rRNA from 1 species
AAGCCAUGCAUGUCUAAGUACAGCCYAYAAGGCGAAACCGCGAAUGGCUCAUUAAAUCAGUUAUGGUUCCUUGGAUCGUACUUUGUACUUGGAUAACUGUGGUAAUUCUAGAGCUAAUACAUGCAGCAGAGCUCCGACCCUCGGGAACGAGCGCUUUUAUUAGACCAAAACCGAUCGGCCUCGGUCCGUUUCUUGUGGUGACUCUGAAUAACUUUGGGCUGAUCGACGGGCCCGUCCCGGCGACGUAUCUUUCAAGUGUCUGCCUUAUCAACUUUCGAUGGUAGGUUACGCGCCUACCAUGGUCGUAACGGGUGACGGGGAAUCAGGGUUCGAUUCCGGAGAGGGAGCCUGAGAAACGGCUACCACAUCCAAGGAAGGCAGCAGGCGCGCAAAUUACCCACUCCCAGAUCGGGGAGGUAGUGACGAAAAAUAACAAUACGGGACUCUUAUGAGACCCCGUAAUUGGAAUGAGUACACUCUAAAACCUUUAACGAGGAUCCAUUCGAGGGCAAGUCUGGUGCCAGCAGCCGCGGUAACCCCAGCUCGAAUAGCGUAUAUUAAAGUUGUUGCGGUUAAAAAGCUCGUAGUUGGAUCUCAGUUCCAGACGGGCGGUCCGCCUACCGGUGGUCACUGUCGUUCUGAACAGCGGCCGGUUCCUCUGGAUGAUCUUCACCGGUUGUCUUGGGUGACUGGCAAGUUUACUUUGAAAAAAUUAGAGUGCUCAAAGCAGGCGCGAAGCCUGAAUAAUGGUGCAUGGAAUAAUGGAAUAGGACCUCGGUUCUAUUUUGUUGGUUUUCUGAACGCGAGGUAAUGAUUAGAGGGACAGACGGGGGCAUUCGUAUUGCGUCGAUAGAGGUGAAAUUCUUGGACCGUCGCAAGACGAACUACUGCGAAAGCAUUUGCCAAGAAUGUUUCCGUUAAUCAAGAACGAAAGUUAGAGGAUCGAAGGCGAUUAGAUACCGCCCUAGUUCUAACCAUAAACGAUGCCAGCUAGCGAUCCGGUUUUUCUCAAAACGAGUGGCCGGGCAGCUUCCGGGAAACCAAAGCCUUUGGGUUCCGGGGGGAGUAUGGUUGCAAAGCUGAAACUUAAAGGAAUAGACGGAAGGGCACCACCAGGAAUGGAGCCUGCGGCUUAAUUUGACUCAACACGGGAAAACUCACCCGGCCCGGACCAGGAAGGAUUGACAGAUUGAGAGCUCUUUCUUGAUUCUGUGGGUGGUGGUGCAUGGCCGCUCUUAGUUCGUGGAGCGAUUUGUCUGGUUAAUUCCGAUAACGAACGAGACUCCAGCCUAUAAUUAUCGUUCCGUUGAGUCGGACGUGCUUCUUAGAGGGAUUAACGGCGUYUA